rnacentral:rRNA from 1 species
GACGAACGCUGGCGGCGUGCUUAACACAUGCAAGUCGAACGGAAAGGCCCUGCUUUUGUGGGGUGCUCGAGUGGCGAACGGGUGAGUAACACGUGAGUAACCUGCCCUUGACUUUGGGAUAACUUCAGGAAACUGGGGCUAAUACCGGAUAGGAGCUCCUGCUGCAUGGUGGGGGUUGGAAAGUUUCGGCGGUUGGGGAUGGACUCGCGGCUUAUCAGCUUGUUGGUGGGGUAGUGGCUUACCAAGGCUUUGACGGGUAGCCGGCCUGAGAGGGUGACCGGGCAAAAUGGGAAUGAGGAACGGGCCAGGACCCAACGGGGAGGAAGAGGGGGGAAAUUUGGCAAAAGGGGGGGAGGCGGGAGGCGGAACCGCCGGGUGGGGGAGACGGGCCUUGGGUUGUAAACCCGGUUCCGCCUGGGACGAGGGGGGGGGGAGGGAAAGGGAUAAAAAAGCACCGGCAACCUCCGGC